CCUCUUCUUGUUACAGUUGCUUGUGUUUUUUUUCUUCUUCUUCGAAUUCCUAUUUAUUUAUGGAAUUCUUCCGGUCUUCUUUACUGUUCAAAUUUGUGCUUAUACUGCCAGAACUGCUUCCCAAAGAGAGUUCACUCCAGUCAUAGAUGUGGCAGGGUUCCUCUGAUGACCAGGUAAGGAUUAUGUAUCAAGUACUCUUAAAGCUUGUGCUGGAAUGGGUCUCAAGAAAUUGGGUAGACACUUGCAGGCUAUCAGUGUUUGUCUGCAAGUUCAUGCACUUGCUCAGAAAUCAGGUUUUGAAUUUGACAGCUAU